GGCGGGAUAGCUCAGGUGGUUAGAGCGGAGGAAUCAUAAUCCUUAGGUCCGGGGUUCAAGUCCCUGUCCCGCUACCA
rnacentral:tRNA from 1 species